rnacentral:rRNA from 1 species
GACGAACGCUGGCGGCGUGCUUAACACAUGCAAGUCGAACGGAAAGGCCCUGCUUUUGUGGGGUGCUCGAGUGGCGAACGGGUGAGUAACACGUGAGUAACCUGCCCUUGACUUUGGGAUAACUUCAGGAAACUGGGGCUAAUACCGGAUAGGAGCUCCUGCUGCAUGGUGGGGGUUGGAAAGUUUCGGCGGUUGGGGAUGGACUCGCGGCUUAUCAGCUUGUUGGUGGGGUAGUGGCUUACCAAGGCUUUGACGGGUAGCCGGCCUGAGAGGGUGACCGGCGACAUUGGGACUGAGAUACGGCCCAGACUCCUACGGGAGGAAGCAGUGGGGAAUAUUGCACAAUGGGCGGAAGCAUGAUGCAGCAACGCCGCGUGCGGGAUGACGGCGGUCGGGUUGUAGACCGCUUUCGCCUGUGACGAAGCGUGAGUGACGGUAAUGGGUAAAGAAGCACCGGCUAACUACGUG